rnacentral:pre_miRNA from 1 species
UAACUUCCACAGGGUGGCUGGCCCCAGGCCAGGCUGGGCGAGUGUCUUUCAAAAGGUCACCCUCAGGCAUGACUAGGAGC